rnacentral:rRNA from 1 species
AUUGAACGCUGGCGGCAGGCCUAACACAUGCAAGUCGAACGGUAACAGGAAGCAGCUUGCUGCUUUGCUGACGAGUGGCGGACGGGUGAGUAAUGUCUGGGAAACUGCCUGAUGGAGGGGGAUAACUACUGGAAACGGUAGCUAAUACCGCAUAACGUCGCAAGACCAAAGAGGGGGACCUUAGGGCCUCUUGCCAUCGGAUGUGCCCAGAUGGGAUUAGCUAGUAGGUGGGGUAACGGCUCACCUAGGCGACGAUCCCUAGCUGGUCUGAGAGGAUGACCAGCCACACUGGAACUGAGACACGGUCCAGACUCCUACGGGAGGCAGCAGUGGGGAAUAUUGCACAAAGGGCGCAAGCCUGAUGCAGCCAUGCCGCGUGUAUGAAGAAGGCCUUCGGGUUGUAAAGUACUUUCAGCGGGGAGGAAGGGAGUAAAGUUAAUACCUUUGCUCAUUGACGUUACCCGCAGAAGAAGCACCGGCUAACUCCGUG